GAACUUUACCAACGUACUCGAUCCGUCAAAAAAUUUGAUAUUGAAACUCUUGUUACUAAUUUAACAACGAAUUUCUUACGGUAUAUUAAUGACUAAAAAAACCUUCAACAUUUACUAAUAACUAUUUUUGUAGCUAAUAAACAACGAUUUUAGCAACAAAUUUUUCGUUAGAGUAAUACUGAAUUUUCUUAAUAUAAGAGUAGUAGAAGUUUAAAAUUAUGCUACUCGUUGAC
rnacentral:lncRNA from 1 species